rnacentral:rRNA from 1 species
CCUACGGGUGGCAGCAGUGGGGAAUAUUGCGCAAUGGGCGAAAGCCUGACGCAGCGACGCCGCGUGAGGGAUGAAGGUCUUCGGAUCGUAAACCUCUGUCAGCAGGGAAGAACGGUCACUGUGCUAAUCAGCAGUGAAUUGACGUUACCUGCAAAGGAAGCACCGGCUAACUCCGUGCCAGCAGCCGCGGUAAUACGGAGGGUGCGAGCGUUAAUCGGAUUUACUGGGCGUAAAGCGCUCGUAGACGGUAUGUCAAGUCAAGGGUGAAAUCCCCGGGCUCAACGUGGGAACUGCAUUUGAAACUGGCAGACUGGAGUGUGUGAGAGGUAAGUGGAAUUCGAGGUGUAGGGGUGAAAUGCGUAGAUAUCUGGAGGAACAUCAGUGGCGAAGGCGACUAACUGGACCAUAACUGACGCUGAGGAGCGAAAGCGUGGGUAGCAAACAGGAUUAGAUACCCUGGUAGUC